rnacentral:lncRNA from 1 species
AGAGCGCCGCCGCCGCCAGCUGGAGGAGAGCGAUGCGGGGGCCAGAGCGGCAGCUCGAACAGUAAUGUGGAUUUACAGUCAUUUCCCGCAGGAAACGGCUAAGGCGCCCGAAGUCCACAGCACUUGCAGCACCCGGCAGAGCUGAGCACCUGGCGAGGAGGCGGGGGACCGCACCUGAGGACACUACUGAAACUUGCGCCUGGACUAGGUAGGAAUUGCAAGGGUGACCAUUAUUCUGCUUAACUUAUCUUCUGGAUCUAACAAGGUACAUUUUAUGAUUGGCCAUUACAGCAAACUUUGUGACCUUUUUCUAUAUCAACCAAAAAGGGAAUUAUUGAGAAGAUCUACGGAAAGUGUCUUUUGGCAACUGAUACAGCACAAUUCAUCACAAUUGGAAACUUUUCAAAUGGUCACAUCAUCACCUCUUUUCAUAAUAGCCGGCUUCUUCCAGGACAGUUUGUAAUUCUCAGUGAAUCAUAAUAAGAGUUUUGAUUAUUUC